UGUUGUGGUUGACACCGGAUUUCCCUCUGAACACAGCCCACUGCUUGAUGUCCUAGCAAACAAAGUGAAGGCUAUCAGGAGGCUUAGGGAACUCUUGACAACCAAACUUCCUACAGGCACAUUUCCAGUCAAGGAAGUCAUAGCUGCUACAAUGAUAAGAAGAAAGUAGAGGAAAAGGAACAGAUCUCGACUGUAAUUCUGCAGAUGAAGCAUACCAAUAAAAAGGCAUAUGACCAGACUCUAUAACAAUAUCUGCACAACAG